UUGCACCACUACACUCCAACCUGGGCAACAGAGUGAGACUCCUCAAAAAAAUAAAUAAAUAAAGCCCAUAUUUCUUAAAAAAAAAAAAAAAAGACUCGAAGCAAAGAGAGGAAAUUGUUGGCAAUGGCUAGUCCUGAGCGGUGGGUACCAUGUGUUUGCUACAUUGUUCUGUGUACAUUUCUGAAUACCAGCAUUUUCUUCAGGGGUAGGGGAGGGGAUACUGUAAACAAACUAAGGAACUCUGGUGUGAUAAGUGCUGCUGUGUCCUAGGAAGACUUCCUGGGAGAAAUGGAAAGCAGCUGUUCCCACUUCUGUUGACUGAAAAUAGAAGUCAUUAAGCCACCCAACAGCAAGCCACUGCAUCCGCCUAGAACCUGGCCCGGACCUGAGCGGCCACCGGGGCACCUCCACCUCCUCCCUCCUUAGUCCCUUUAUUCAUAUUCAGUGAGCCCAGCCGGAAGCAGGGGCCUGGCACUCUAGACAAUUCCACGGAGAAGCAGCUCUGGAAUCCAGCACUGACACAGCCAUUGCUGCUGACCAUUUGUUUCCGGCCCCAGCAAUUGUCACAAGGGCUGCCUGCCUGAGUCACUAACAGGAAAGGGCUGAGAAAGAAGCAUUGCCAAUGGUUUCACUUAACUGCUUUUUAUUCUUUCCUCAAAGAGGAGGAAGUCGACCAUUUAAACAGG